GAUUUGAUCUCAAAGUUGUUGUUCUCCACAGCUGGUGCCAUGAUACCAAGUCUACUCCCAUGGAUAUUGGGCUGAUCAUAGGUGCCAACAGCUCUAGCUUGGCACUGAUUCCCCUCCAUCUCAAACUCAACUCUGUCCAAAUGAGCUUGCAUUUCUUCUUCUCUUCUCGUCCUUGCAAUCUCCCUUUCAAAAGCUCUAAUGUCUUCAACUCCUCAAGUUCAUGUACCUGACAUUCAAAAGAGCUAGGAGGGAGAAUCAGUAACUAGAUACAAGAAAAUAAGACUUAGUCUCAAGCAAGGACCAAAUCUCAAUGUCAAAAUCAACUUAGUAUUUGGCAACGGCGCCAAAUUUGAUAUGGACUUUUCAAGGGUCCAAGGUUCAAAUCGAUGUAGUAUUUUAGAUGUCAAUCCAUUUCUAAGUGUUUCAAUUCAAUGAGAAUACAGGUUCAUACUUAAGCUAAGUGCAUUCAAUGUAGUGAAGUGAUUAGAUCA
rnacentral:lncRNA from 1 species